GGGGAAUAUUGGACAAUGGGCGAAAGCCUGAUCCAGCCAUGCCGCGUGAGUGAUGAGGGCCUUAGGGUUGUAAAGCUCUUUCAGUGGGGAAGAUAAUGACGGUACCCACAGAAGAAGCCCCGGCUAACUCCGUGCCAGCAGCCGCGGUAAUACGAAGGGGGCUAGCGUUGUUCGGAUUUACUGGGCGUAAAGCGCACGUAGGCGGAUCGUUAAGUCGGGGGUGAAAUCCUGGAGCUCAACUCCAGAACUGCCUUCGAUACUGGCGAUCUUGAGUCCGGAAGAGGUGAGUGGAACUCCUAGUGUAGAGGUGGAAUUCGUAGAUAUUAGGAAGAACACCAGUGGCGAAGGCGGCUCACUGGUCCGGUACUGACGCUGAGGGGCGAAAGCGUGGGGAGCAAAC
rnacentral:rRNA from 1 species